UGGGGAAUAUUGCACAAUGGGCGAAAGCCUGAUGCAGCAACGCCGCGUGAGUGAUGAAGGCCUUCGGGUUGUAAAGCUCUGUCUUCUGGGACGAUAAUGACGGUACCAGAGGAGGAAGCCACGGCUAACUACGUGCCAGCAGCCGCGGUAAUACGUAGGUGGCAAGCGUUGUCCGGAUUUACUGGGCGUAAAGGAUGCGUAGGCGGAUACUUAAGUCAGAUGUGAAAAUCCCGGGCUUAACUUGGGAACUGCAUUUGAAACUGGGUAUCUAGAGUGCGGGAGAGGAAAGUGGAAUUCCUAGUGUAGCGGUGAAAUGCGUAGAGAUUAGGAAGAACACCAGUGGCGAAGGCGACUUUCUGGACCGUAACUGACGCUGAGGCAUGAAAGCGUGGGGAGCAAGCA
rnacentral:rRNA from 1 species